AGUCGAACGAUGAACCUCACUUGUGGGGGGAUUAGUGGCGAACGGGUGAGUAACACGUGAGUAACCUGCCCUUGACUCUGGGAUAAGCCUGGGAAACCGGGUCUAAUACUGGAUACGACCUUCUGGCGCAUGCCAUGUUGGUGGAAAGCUUUUGUGGUUUUGGAUGGACUCGCGGCCUAUCAGCUUGUUGGUGGGGUAAUGGCCUACCAAGGCGACGACGGGUAGCCGGCCUGAGAGGGUGACCGGCCACACUGGGACUGAGACACGGCCCAGACUCCUACGGGAGGCAGCAGUGGGGAAUAUUGCACAAUGGGCGCAAGCCUGAUGCAGCGACGCCGCGUGAGGGAUGAAGGCCUUCGGGUUGUAAACCUCUUUCAGUAGGGAAGAAGCUGGCCUUUGGGUUGGUGACGGUACCUGCAGAAGAAGCGCCGGCUAACUACGUGCCAGCAGCCGCGGUAAUACGUAGGGCGCAAGCGUUAUCCGGAAUUAUUGGGCGUAAAGAGCUCGUAGGCGGUUUGUCGCGUCUGCCGUGAAAGUCCGGGGCUUAACUCCGGAUCUGCGGUGGGUACGGGCAGACUAGAGUGCAGUAGGGGAGACUGGAAUUCCUGGUGUAGCGGUGAAAUGCGCAGAUAUCAGGAGGAACACCGAUGGCGAAGGCAGGUCUCUGGGCUGUAACUGACGCUGAGGAGCGAAAGCAUGGGGAGCGAACAGGAUUAGAUACCCUGGUAGUCCAUGCCGUAAACGUUGGGCACUAGGUGUGGGGGACAUUCCACGUUUUCCGCGCCGUAGCUAACGCAUUAAGUGCCCCGCCUGGGGAGUACGGCCGCAAGGCUAAAACUCAAAGGAAUUGACGGGGGCCCGCACAAGCGGCGGAGCAUGCGGAUUAAUUCGAUGCAACGCGAAGAACCU
rnacentral:rRNA from 1 species